GGAGGUAGCAAGUAUCAGGUUACCUUUUUUUGGCGGGAAGAAGGGCACACUGGGAAAAAGACUGUCCUUUGGUGGGAGAAGCCAUGCUUUAACAUAGCAUUAUAGGAAGGAGGUUGCUAUUCCAUGUGGAAGCCAUCAUAACGCAUAGAGCAUUAUGAGAAGGAGGAGGCUGCUAUUUUAUAUAGCAGCCAUCUUAAGGCAAGGGAAAUCUAGCAAUGUUUUUAAAUAUAACAGUAAGAAUGAAAAUGGAUCAAAGGAAUUUAAAGACAAACGGAGAAAGAAACACUACUCCAAGUCAAGCUAAGUAUUGUCAAUCAAGCCGAGUCACUAUCAUUGAAAUCUCCAGACUCAGUGCUACAGAGAUACCAUCUCCUGCUACCUAAAAGUAAGCAGAAUUAAUUCUAUGCUGCAAGUUGGUCAACACAAGAUUACACAGCCCAAAGAGAAAGAAGAGCCUCAUAGAAUAUAUACCAUC
ensembl:lincRNA